rnacentral:lncRNA from 1 species
NGGGGGCUCUGCAUGCAGUGGGGACACGGGGACGUGUUCCCAGGGUGUUUGCUUGGCUCUGGGGCACAUCCUGGCAGGCACAGUGCUGUGGUGAGCAUUCAGCUUCCCACGAGGACCUGGCAUCGUGCUCAUUUGUCAGCACCCCUUGCACCCACACCCCAAUAUUCACCUUGUGCUGCAGACACUGGCUCAAAAGCUGCCUUGUUAUUAUUUUCCUUAAAAAUAACACAAAAGGGAAAUAACUGGGCUGUGCUUAGCUCCCCACUGGGAGUUUUUAGGGUGAUGUACAGUGGGCUGAGCAGUGGGAGGGAUCCAGCGCACUUCUGGUGGGAUUUGGUGCUGGAUUCGGAGUUCACCAGGGUGUCACAGGGCUGGGGGGCCCAGCCCAUCCCCGUGUGCUGCCUGCCCGGUGCUCAGCGCUGGCACAGCCGAGCGCCUUCAUGGCGUGGGUGGGAAGGGGCGAGCGCCAGUCCGGUGGGGUUUUUUUCCCUUCUCCAUCUUUCUUUCUUUUUUUUUUUUUUUUCCUCCUUUUUUCUUUCUUUUUUUUUCCCUCCCUCUCUGUGGGUUGAGCGUUGGGGCGACAGACAGGGAAAGUCUGAGCAAUGGUCUCCGUGCUGGUGCUGUCUUCAAUCACCGCGUCCCAGAAUCCCUCGCUCUGGGCCUUCUAGGCACAAGGGCUUACAGCGAAAAUCGGCAGCUGCAGCUGCGAGUGAAAGCACAAGAGCCCGGCUGGGUCUUUGGCAUCGGCAGGAGAGCAAAAAAAAGCUGGGGGAGGCGAGGAGGGAAGGGAAAAGGCGGGGGGAAAUGUGCCCUGUGGUUUUUUUCCAGGCUUGCCACCGAGGGUUGUGUUUCAGAGCAUCGGUUCCCGGGCGCGGGAAGAGGCGGGAGGACGGGGGGUGCGGAGCGAUGCCUCCGGGGAGCUCAUUAAAAUCUGUCGGCUCCCCCCUUUCGCCGGCCGAGAGAGGCUGCAUGCGGAGGGAAGGAGGGAGGGACGUGCUGGAAGGAACACGCCGGCAGAGCGGCU